AUCGUGUCUAUGUACUCCCACAGAGUGAUGUUUAGACAGAAAGAGCUCUACAGUUCAUAGAGGGUGAUGCCUUCUUUCUAGCGCUAAUGUUGCAGUCAAGGAUUCAUGGCUCGACAUGUGAGGUAUUGUCCGUUUUGAUUUACGGCCCAUAACUCAGAAGCUGUAUGGACUGUUUUUGGGCUUUACAAUUUUGCUCCUUAAAAGAUACGUCACGUGAGAAGGAUGGUUCCCUUCCUAUAUAAAUCUAAAUUUUUUUUUGACUUUAACCAAUAUGAAACUAAUGACGUCUUUCCUUC
rnacentral:lncRNA from 1 species